GUUUUAUUAACAACCAAACAGAACAAUAUUUUAUAUUUUCAGCUGACAAAGUGAUACAGUUUACUGCCUGGUGAAUUGGAUAUUUCAUAGGUGAUGGAGGAGCUUCGGUGCAUCUUGGACAAGGAUAAUAGCCACUACAUUGACCAGGUGAAGGGAAGAUGGCAUGACUUCUGCCAGAAAGUGCAGUUUUUUGGUCUGUGGAAAAAGAUGGUGAAACCCCCAAUGGGAAUGGACAAAGCUGAACAAGCUGUCAGGAUCCUGGGUGUGCUACCAUCAUUGUUCCCCUCUGCAUCAGCUCCACCAAAGAAACUUGGAGAUGCAAGUGAAGCUCUUGUGCAUGUUCUUGAGGAAAAAGAAGACCCCAGUGCCUAGUUGAGGAAACGCCCUCUUUCCUGUCCAGUCCUGAUUGUGAGCCCAUACAACUGCCUCCUAGCUGUGGGACAUACGCCGGUAACUACGUUCCCAAAAGACAAGGUCACAGAGGGUGCUUUAUACCUCAUGGCCUACUAUUAUGCUCUACACCUGACAUACCCCAGGUGCAUUGCUACACUACUUUCAAUCAUACAAACUGAGGUUCUUUGCGACACAAUCCAUGACAAAGACCUCACGCCAUCUUACAAAAAGAGCCUGGCUGAUUGGAAAGCUUUUGUUGGCAAAUAGAGCAGAUGUUUAGAUUUUUCCUGAUCUCAUCAGGGUACUGCAAUCCAUAAUUGCUAGUUGUUAAG